rnacentral:rRNA from 1 species
GCCAGCAGCCAUAUCACCCUGCAGCCCACUGAAGCUAAGCAGGUGUGAGCCUGGUCAGUACCUGGAUGGGAGACCUCCUGGGAAAAACUAAGGUUCCUGCUGGAA